rfam:Stachybotrys chartarum IBT 40288 unplaced genomic scaffold scaffold1093, whole genome shotgun sequence.
GUUUGCAUGAUGCUACACAUAUCACGACGGUCAACUUAGCCAUAUGCAUUGAUGAUACUGCCUGUGACAGGGCUUUUUUCCUGACA